rnacentral:rRNA from 1 species
UACGAAGGCAGCAGUGGGGAAUAUUGCACAAUGGGCGCAAGCCUGAUGCAGCCAUGCCGCGUGUAUGAAGAAGGCCUUCGGGUUGUAAAGUACUUUCAGUCGUGAGGAAGGUGUUAAGGUUAAUAACCUUAGCAAUUGACGUUAGCGACAGAAGAAGCACCGGCUAACUCCGUGCCAGCAGCCGCGGUAAUACGGAGGGUGCGAGCGUUAAUCGGAAUUACUGGGCGUAAAGGGCACGCAGGCGGUUAAUUAAGUUGGAUGUGAAAUCCCCGGGCUUAACCUGGGAAUGGCAUUCAAGACUGGUUAGCUAGAGUCUUGUAGAGGGGGUAGAAUUCCGAUGUGUAGCGGUGAAAUGCGUAGAGAUGUGGAGGAAUACCGGUGGCGAAGGCGGCCCCUGGACAAAGACUGACGCUCAUGUGCGAAAGCGUGGGGAGCAAA